rnacentral:rRNA from 1 species
GAUGAACGCUGGCGGCGUGCCUAAUACAUGCAAGUCGAGCGAACAGACGAGGAUCUUGCUCCUCUGACGUUAGCGGCGGACGGGUGAGUAACACGGGGAGAACCUACCUAUAAGACUGGGAUAACUUCGGGAAACCGGAGCGAAUACCGGAUAAUAUAUUGAACCGCAUGGGUCAAUAGUGAAAGACGGUUUUGCUGUCACGUAUAGAGGUAUCCGCGCCGCAUUAGCUUGGUGGGAAGGUAACGGCUUACCAAGGCAACGAGGAGUAGCCGACCUGAGAGGGUGAUCGGACACACUGGAACUGGGAGACCGUCCAGACUGCUACGGGAGGCAGCAGUAGGGACUCUUCCGAGAUGGGCGAAAGCCUGACGGAGCAACGCCGCGUGAGUGAUGAAGGUCUUCGGAUCGUAAAACUCUGUUAUUAGGGAAGAACAAAUGUGUAAGUAAGUAUGCACGUAUUGACGGUACCUAAUCAGAAAGCCACGGCUAACUCCGUG